rnacentral:rRNA from 1 species
UACGUAGGGUGCGAGCGUUGUCCGGAAUUAUUGGGCGUAAAGAGCUCGUAGGCGGCUUGUCGCGUCGGAUGUGAAAGCCCGGGGCUUAACUCCGGGUCUGCAUUCGAUACGGGCAGACUAGAGUGCGGUAGGGGAGAUUGGAAUUCCUGGUGUAGCGGUGGAAUGCGCAGAUAUCAGGAGGAACACCGAUGGCGAAGGCAGAUCUCUGGGCCGUAACUGACGCUGAGGAGCGAAAGCAUGGGGAGCGAACAGG